rnacentral:rRNA from 1 species
UACGUAGGGUGCAAGCGUUAUCCGGAAUCACUGGGCGUAAAGCGUGCGUAGGUGGCGUGUUAAGUGUGAUGUUAAAUCGUGUGGCUCAACCAUAUCGAUGUGUCGCAUACUGGCAUGCUAGAGGACAGCAGAGGCAAGUGGAAUUUGUAGUGUAGCAGUGAAAUGCGUAGAUAUUACAAGGAACACCAAUGGCGAAGGCAGCUUGCUGGGCUACUCCUGACACUGAGGUACGAAAGCGUGGGGAGCGAACGGG